rnacentral:lncRNA from 11 species
GGCUCUGCAAUUUCAAAACAAACAGCGAUGGAGCUGGAUCAUCCCUCUUCAUCCUCUCCUUUCCUUGGUAAAGCAAUUUGUUUUAAAAUAACAACCGAAACCAGAGAAUCAAAGGCGGAUGUUGUUUCCUCGUGUAAUAGUCGCACCCUCUUUUUAAUGAAAAAAAUGUGACUAUUAUGCAAUGAAAUAUUGCCCAGAUCUUGAUUUCGUGCUUCUUUGUGGCUCACUCGCAAGACACCAAAAUCGUGAACAUCAGCGUUGUACUCCUCCCGGAGUUCUCAAUGGUUGGAGACUCCGUUACAAUCAUCCCAGAGACAACGGAGCGGGACGUGACCUCCUGCAUGUGGUUCAGGAGUUUUGAGGGCAAAUACUAUCCGAUCAUCUUUAAACAGUUCAAGCCCGACGAGAGGGUCAUGAGGGGAGAUGGCUAUGAUGGGAGGCAGUUCCUUAGGGAGAACUGCGCCCUGCGCAUCACUGAGCUGGACAUCGCAGACAUGGCAAUCUACAUGAUCAUCAGGAACACCACCAGCAAGACUGAGGCUGGAAAAGUAUUCCUGCGGAUCCUGCGAGACAGUAAAGUGGUCACUCCUAGUCCAGUUCCACACAAACUAGAGCCAAAGGUCAUCACUGUGGGCACCAUGGCGGGCAUCAUCGUCGGCUGCCUGAUCGGGUCCGUCUUAAUCGUAGGCCUGAUCACGUACCAGACCAUGAAACAAUCAGAAAGGAAUAACUUGGGUUCUGGAGAAGGUAGAAGCCCUCAUUCAUCAUCAAAACCUGGGAGCCAGCAGAGACUAAGCAUUCAUAACCUUGGACCUGUACCUGCACCCCAGUAAGUACUGGACCUGAAAGACAUGUUACAUUUAUAUGGUUUUGUUGCCAUGUAUGAGAACCCAUUGGG